GAGUCCGCCCUCCCAGGCGGGAGGGGCCGGGGGGGGCCGGGGGUACCUCAGCGCCCCGAGCCCCUGGGGACACCCGGGGACACCCGUGGGGGACCCGCAGCCCCUGCCCGGGUGGUGCAGGGGGGUCCCACCCGCCUUCCUGCGCGGAGGAAGCGACAUCGCCGCCCCCAGCCCAGCCUUGAGCCCCCGACCUCCCCCACGGGCGUGUAUUCCCCUCCCUGAUCCAAAGGAGCGGCCACACCCACUGCCGGCACCUGUUGGGAACGGGAGGUGGGUGAGGGACACGGGAGGGCAUCCUCACGUGAGUACUUUAAGACCCGCAGGGUUUUAAGAGCUGCGGUUUCUUCUCGCUAAAAUACGAGCUGAUAAAGGCAUGAGAACAGCACAAGGAGAAGGGGGUGAGUGGCUUUUUCUUACAGUCACAGAAUGCUUUGAGUCGGAAGGGACCUUAAAACUCACCCUGUUCUACCCCCUGGGACACCUUCAACUAUCCCAGGUUGCUCCAAGCCCCAACCAGCCCGGCCUUGGACACUUCCAGGGAUGGGGAUUCCAAGGUCAGCAUUGAAUUUUGGGGAGCAGAAUGCCAAUCUAAGCGCAGGGCUCCUGCCAGUGAGAUUCCUCCUGCAGGAGAUUCCUCCAAGACAAAAGGUGCCAGCACAGGAAGCUCAAGCUGCCCAGGGAGUGCCAAGGGUGGCACAUAAACUGCACUUGGGAGACAGGUCAGGGCUUUCUUUCCUGGGUGGAAGGGCAGUUGUUUGCUUGCAGGAGCGCUGUGCUGGAGUUAGGAGGUUCCACCCAGGAAAGAAAGCCUCAUGUGCAGUUGUUGGGCCACUCUUGGCACUCCAUGGAUAGGCUUUUUGUGCUGGCAUCUUCUACCUGGGAGGAACCUUUGUGUUCCUGGCAGCUGAGCCUCUCCCAAGCACCUGCCUUUAAAGUGGGCUGUUCUCUCCUGGCAGAACCCAACCUGCUUUAUCAAGGUCUGUGAUGCACAAGGUGACCAGAUGGUCCCUAAAGGUCCCUUCCAAUCCAAACCAUUCCAUGAUUCUGCACUUCAUGGCACAGGCAAAGCCUUGCCCAUGCUCUGAGCUCAGGUCUAUUUAAGACCCCUGUGUUUAUGAUGCACCAACAGUCUGACUGUUAGGUUGGCUCACCUCUUAGCUCACAAGGAUUUUUCCCCUGGAAUCCUGCCAAGUUCCAUAUUUCGGGCAUCUGGGGAAUAAGCAACAAUCAACAAUUCUUCAUCAGCAAUUCCCCUCUAAGAAUCACGUGUGGUUUUAUAAAUGGCAAUCAAAUGAGCUUUACAGCACUGCAGGGAAUCAGCUGAGUGGCAUUUCUGGCACCUUAAUGUGUCGAUGGGAAACCUGAGGCACAGCAAUUCCUGUAAGGUUAUGAUUUAACUGAAGUAACUUUUUUAUGGUGGAGGUUUUUCCCCCCAAAGCCUUUGAGGUGUCUGCCAGACUCUGGGUGAGACUCAGCCUGCUGGAAAUGGGAUGAUCUGGAUGGUGGUCCUGGCUCUGGGUACAGCUCCCAGAAAACAUUACAGACUUUCCUUAAUGAAUUGACUGAUUAUUUCAGGGUUACUGCUUAACCCUUUCUUUCAGAACAGCGCUGAUGGGAUGUUCCAUGCGGAUUUUGUCUCCCAUGGAUCACCUCCAUGUAGGACCAGGGAUAACCUGAUUCACAUCUCUCAGUUCCAGACACUCCACCUACCCUGUAUCUGCCAGCCUUCCUGUCCCACUGUGUCUUUACACAAAAGUCCUGGGGGGGUUGUUGGAUGCUCCAGCAUCUCUUCAGGCUUUUUGUCAGGAGCUGGAAUGUCUUUUGUCUGCAUCCUGAGGACUGAGCAGGCAGCCCAUGGCAUGAGGGCUUUGAGUCUCAGUUUUGCCUCUAUUCAGCACAUUCUUCUUCUUCUUUUUUGUUUUUUUCUCCUGCUCUCAUUAAUUAGUUCCUGAUGUGCUGGUUCCUGCCUGAGAAACACUGGGAAUUUCUGAGGCUUUGACAGAGAGGAGUCUGGAAAAGGUUAAAAUCCUGAAUUAGGGAAUGUUUAUGUGAGAAAGAUUUGAUUGACAGAAUUUCUGGGAUCAAGCACUUUACUCUUCUACACUGCAAUAAAGGCAGUUAUAGACUUAAUUCUGUCUUUCUGCAGCAGAUCUAGGGCCAGAUGAAUUGCACAGCCACGGUUAGAGCCAAAGGCUUUGCUUCUUGUUCGUGCUUUGCCAGCAUUUGUGUGAUUCAGAGGAUUCUUCCUUGUGCAGAGUACAACAACAUCCCACAUCCCCACAGGUCUACUGCCACCAGGCACGAGCAUUUUUUAGGAAGAUACAGAGGAGGGAGAACCCUGAGCUAAACAAAUGGGCCAUAGGUGAGAGAGCUCCCUUCAAAUCCAACUCGAAAUGCUUUGUGCCUCGGGAGAUUAUCUGAUCAUCUCCUUUUGCUCCCUCUAAUCCAGUGGGUGAUCACAUCUGAUGACAGCUUUAAAAUAAUAAUCUGAGCAGAACAAGCAAUUCCCAUGGGAAAGCUCUGACUGUACGUGCUUGUAAAGAAAAAUGCCACUCUUUCCCCUUGUAGAACAAACCAUGAGUAUUAACCAUCUGUGCAAGUAUUGCAGUCCUGGAGAGCUCCAUCCUUUUAAUGGGAGCUUUGGAUUUCAUAGCAGGCAUUUAAUCAGCUGGGGGAGUGUUUUCAGCCAGGUUAUGUAAAUGCUGUCAAGAAACCAUGUGUCUGGAAAAGAUGGAUGUAAGGAAUGUGCUAGCAGGAGGCAGAAGGGAGGUUGGAUUGUUUCGGGGUUGCGGUUUCACAGCAGUGUUUUAUAAACCUGCUGAUCCAAUUGGCAACAUCCACAACCCUUGGAAAUAGGCUGAACAGGGCAUUGUCACCCUACAGACUUGAUGGGGCUUGGAUGUGCAUUCCAGGGAGAUCCACUGUGGGAAUCCAGUGCAUAAAUGUGGGAGGGAACAGGCUGAGCAGGAGAGGGGUUUGAGGCAGGAGUCCAGAGAAUGAGAAAUGGCAGGCACAAAUGUUUGAAAGAUAAAGUGUUCUCAAGUGGGCAUCUGUAUGUGCAUGAAUUUAGAGCACUAGAAGAACCUGCCAGCGCUCCUGGAGGUGCCUGCCCUUUGCCCACACAGAAAUUCCCAAAGAAUUUCUUACAGGGGCAAAAAUGCCCCAAAUUAAACCAUUCCUAUGGACAGAUCUCAUCCCUGUGUCUCCGAGGUUAAGGGGUGGGAAAGCUGAACAAUUCCUUCCUUCCCAUAAUGAGGAGAGACAGCUUCUAAUUAGGAUUCAUUAGAGCUGCCCCAGGGAGCCGAUGGGACCAUUUUUCAGGAUUCCUUGUUGGAAUUAUUUUUCGUCUCACUCUCUCCCUGUUGGCUCAGAGCUCUCCAUUCUCUUCCCCAGGGCCUAAGGAUGUGCUUUGAGUCAUCUCAGUGCUCUGCCUAGAAGUGGGGCUAUGGGAUCUUGAGAACCCUUGGUGCUCUCACAGCCCUGGCAGACCUCGGGGACAAGCACUGAGCAAACUGUGGGCAUGGCCACGACACAGGAGAAUGGGAACAAGGGAGCAAAAUGAGCAUAAACCUUGUCUUUUUGACAAGGUUCUAGGGUCAAACGCAUCAUCUAGAAGAGUACUAGAAACUGGAGGGCAAGGGGAAUUAUGUUACAUCCACAAUUAGCAGAAGAGGUCUGGUAAUUUUGGCGUGUUACUUGGUACUUGCCUUGAAACAUCAGCUCCCAGAGUCAAAGUAUUAUGAGAGAAACUCAUUAUUCUUUCAAAAACCAAUCUUCAUUCCAAGAACUUACAGUGCAGAAAACCUCCACCAUGUGAGCUAUUGCACCUUAAUUCCUUUGGAAAAAGAAAGCAUCUUUCCCUUUUAAUUCCACCUCAUCUUUCACACUUUGGACUGGAAAUCUUCCUGUGGAGGAUAUUUUGCCUUGAGUCCUGAACCGGUCUGUGGUUUGGGUUAGUUUUAAUCCAAAGCAAUGAGAAUUGGAUUCAAAGGGACAAAAACAAACGAGAAGGACCAAAGAACAUAUUCUGCAUGGAAAAGGCACCACAGCAGAGCAACAACCCUGUGACUCCACUGCCUGUUUGCUUUCAGUGUCACUCACGGAGCCAUUUAAAGUGAAGCCAAUGCCCUUUAAAUAUGUGCAAAGCCUUUACUGCCUUUCCAAGGAACAGACAUUUUUAUUAGAGCCAGGGAACAUUCCAGCUUCCAAAGGUAAUAAAAAUGCAGUGUGCCAGAAGACAAUAGCAAACUAGUAAGGGGGGGUUUUGCCUCGUUGAACUGAAGGGCCCUGAAGGAUUCUGACUCCAUGCUCUGCUCAGCCCCGAAGCAUCAGGCAGCCAAGUCCAGGGUGGUAGAGGCUCCUCUUCUUCCACUGGAUCCUUUUGUCUCCAUGUCAGGUUAAAGGCAGAGGUGCCAGGAGAAGUCUUUGCACGUGGUUAACAUGGAUAAAGCCUCAAUUGUCCAUUCCAGAGAAGCAUUAGUGGGAAAAGGUGGUUGCACUGGAGGGGAGCCAGUGAGGCAGUGGGUGAAGCCCUGCCCACGGCAGAAGAGCUUGGCAGGGCUAAUCACAGCCUGCUGGGCUCACCCACAGAUAUGAGCCUUCCUCAUAUCCAAGGGUGAAGGAAUUUAUCUCCAGGAGCUCAGUUUCCUUCUCUUCCUCGUGGGCUCUGUUCUGCCUGGAGAGAAAUUGUGCCACAGAGAGACAACUGGCACUCACACUGAAGUUUUUCUUCCUGCGUGACCACUGAGCUUUGUGAAGUCCAGUGUUACUAUUCAAUGAAAAACAUCUGCUCAAACUCCCCGUGUUCAACUCACCUGCUGUAACACGGGCUGGGGAAGGACUCCAGACAUGAGUAUGACCAAGACAGCACAUCAUUCUGCAAUUCUUUCCAGCACCUCUGUGUUGCUGGGCUUUAUUUCUACCUUUUCAUGAAGUAACCCAGCAAGGCACUACUCUACACGCCACAAAACAUUGCUCCCUGCAUUUAUCUUGCAAUAUAUAUUCCAGGAAGUCUGCAUCAGCCACAGGAUUCUGGAUCAUCCAAUACUUUCUCUCACCUGUGCCUGGAAGUACAGACAUUUUUUCCUUGCUGUGGGUGAUUUGUCACUGUGUUCUUGCGGGGGAAUUGCUGGGAAAAGCAGAGAACCUUUUAACUGUAUUCCCAUGUGAGUGGUUGGCUCGGCCAAGGCCGAGCAGGGAGAACACUUCUCAGAGAAAGAGGUGAUGGUGGGAGGAGAAACCCUCAGCAUGGAGCUGACACAGAACACUCAGCAGCGGAUCUGCGUGUUCUGCUUCCUCCUCCAGGAUUUUCUGCUCUGCCAUGUGGCAUCCUGGGGUGACACAGGGAUGUGAAUUCCUCAUGAUCUCACUCCAGUGUUUUUCUGGGGGAAGCUUCGUGCCUGCACAAGCGUUCCCUUGGAAUGAGCCAGCCUCCUCAGUUGGACACAGGGCUGCUUUGUUUCACCUCGGGUUUGGUUUUGUGCUAUUCAGAUAAGUGCGUGAUACAUCGAGCUGGAAAGAUCAUUUAUGAGCAACUUCAGCUGCCAUCCCUGCUUGUGAGGUGUCAGCCAGGGGGAUUUCAGGCUGGUUUUUAACACCCCCAUAAGCCAAGAGCUGAAGUCAUCUCUGCUUUGUCACUGUGUGUUAAUUGUAGCCAUCGACAGAUUUAUGGUGAGAUUUUAUGUACUGCUUAAUCAUUGCUGGUUUUAAAUAGAAUAGACUUUCCUGAAUCAUGUACUUGGUUCUGCAGAUUUCAUUCAGCAUUUUUUCUGCACACAGAUAAGGGGAACACAGCCUAAAUGUAUUUACCACAGAGAUGUUGAGUCUGAGGUCUGCAAACAUCUGUUUUGCAGAACAAGAGGAUCUCAUCUACCACUCAGGCUAUCUGGGAAUCCUCCUAAGGUCUUCAGGAGCCUCCUUCCAGGUGUACACCUACCUCCAUGGCAGGGAAGGGACAUGUUUAAUAGUAAGACUUCAACAGAGAGAACAUGGAGCUAUAAAAAUGGAAAUCAGCUCCUGUUCUAUAGCAAUAGCAACCUGUCAGAAAUUCUCUCCGUGGCCAACAAUCAAGUUGACAACAAGCUAAUUACAGAGGGGCCUCUGAAUACAAGAAGUUGUUACCUGCCUGUAUUUCCAGCUCUGCAUGUCUGAUCAGCCCAGAAGUGUUUGAGCACAUUGUUCAUUUGCCCCCCUGCACACACACCAGAGGCUGUAUUUGGAGCUAAAAUCUGCAGAAGUGCCUGUGACUCUCAGAUCCUGUGGCUGGAGGCACAGGCAGCCAAUUUGGCUUGCAGGCCCUCAGCUCCUGCACAAAAAUGCACGUCCUGGCCAGCACUGCCUGCAAAGUCAACCUCAAGGAGCACAAACUCUGCUUCUUACAUAACACCAAAUAAUGAACCUUGUGCAAAGGGACUCGCCCAGCCCUCUUCAUGUCAUUUAGACAGGAAAAAAGCCCCUCUAGGGCAAAGUAAUUCAAGCCCCUCUUCUCCAGAUGAUGAGCUGAUGGUUAGUGCUCUGCCUGUUAGGUUCAGUCCUUCAGUGCACUGACAAACACCCCGAGGAACCAGGCACAGGACAAUUCUGCUGAUAUUCCAGUUUUUUUUCCAGGAGACACUGCCAGUUACUCCCCUCUUUCUCUGCUCUUUUUUUAUUUACCAUUGGCAUGUCCUCCCUACCUCCAGUUCAGCACAAAGGGACACUGCAGUGUCUCACCUUCCCCGCUGCAGUUUCCUCCCACCAGAUUUCACAUCUGGGGUGUGGAUAGAAAAGAGUGAGGUGAGCCCUUGGAAUCUCCUUCCCUAGGCACCACAGGGACAGUCAGGAACGGGGACUGGGCUCUGGGAGGGGAAUGAGGGGAUGACCAGCAUUGCAAUGUCUCCUUCCCCAACAGUCCUGCAGCAAAGAUGGGAUGUCCCUUCUGAGACCCUCCCAGAGCACCAGGAUUUCAUGGUCCAGGUUUUUCAGCUGCUGCAGGAGCUGCUGUUUGCAGAGAUCUCCAACCCUGGCUGUGCAAGGGGCUUGGGGUUCACUGAGGACUGGAAGGGUGGGGCUGUGGGGGGCGGGUUUACUUUCAAAAAUGAACUCGGUUUUAAGACAGGACCUGGCAACAUUUACAGCACAAGCACUACUCAUAAAAUGGGGUUGUGUGCACGGUGCAGCCAGGGAGGCACACGGACCUAAUUCCCCUUGGUGCAGGGAGGAACGAAGCCAAACAUUCAUUACAGAACUUGACCUCAGGUACAUGAGUAAGUUGCUUGAAACACUGCAGGAGCAGGGGGGAAAAAGGAGGAUUAGUUUCCUUGUCUACUCUGGGGCUGGGACCAGGUUCAGCUCUGGUGUAAUCCCACUGAUUUUAGUGCAGUCACACUUGGGAUCACUUUGGGAUUUUGAAGGAUACUGCACUCACAGGCUUCCCCAAGCAUUAGCAUUCCGAGGUGGUAGAAAUUCAUCCCAUAAUACAGUGCUGAGAAUUUUAAAAUAAUAAAGAAGCCAAGAUGCCUGCUGCCACCACUGCCAGCUAAUUAUAGCAGCACGGACAGGCUUCCCUUGCAGAAUUCCAUAUGCUGUACUCCUGAGGCACAAUAAAUACACCAUAUUAAAGAGGGGCAGGCUGAGAAGGCAUUUCUGAUUUUAAAAUCCUUUAACCAUGGAGUUAGAAACAAAUGAAGUCAUUGAAUGGAAAUUUGCUAUUACUUUUUUUAUAUAUAUAGUUUUUUUCUGAAGCCUCUAAAUGUGCUUCAGUGGAAGUGGGCAGAGGGCAGGGGGAGAACUUGAUAUUUAGCAAUUUAUUAGGAGUUUCCUUACUAGAUUUCUGCACUCAACCCUGGGCUUUAGGCACAGCCAUCCCAGAAUUCAGCCAAUCUUCCACCUGGCACUACCUGGACAAGCAGCAAAGGCCAGAAGUCUGGAGGAAACAGAUUGAUCCAGUUUUCCUGUUUUUCAGUGAUGCUGAGCAUUGGAUGGAUCCUGUCUUAGAUAUUGUCUGGAGCAGCCAUGGUGGGAAGAGGGGACUCCAAAUGCACUGCAAACAGCAGAACUGCUGGCACAGAGAGAUUAGCUGGACAAAAAAAACCAAAAGAAACAACCUGACACGACUCAGAGCCUGGAGUGUGCAAGUUCAUGUUUACAACAGGGGCCAACAGAAGGAAGGCCUAAGUUAUCUCUGUAUUUAUUGAGUGGGCCCAAAAGCAGGUGCUCCAGAUGUGAAUGGAUCUUGUCAGACAACUGAUGUUGGCUGCA